rnacentral:hammerhead_ribozyme from 1 species
AUCUAACUGAGGAGUCCUAAAUAGGAUGAAACGCUUAUCAAACUAGAU